rnacentral:rRNA from 1 species
AUUGAACGCUGGCGGAAUGCUUUACACAUGCAAGUCGAGCGGCAGCACGGGGGCAACCCUGGUGGCGAGCGGCGAACGGGUGAGUAACACAUCGGAACAUGCCCAGUCGUGGGGGAUAACACUUCGAAAGAAGUGCUAAUACCGCAUACGUCCUGAGGGAGAAAGCGGGGGAUCGCAAGACCUCGCGCGAUUGGAGUGGCCGAUGUCAGAUUAGCUAGUUGGUGGGGUAAAGGCCUACCAAGGCAACGAUCUGUAGCUGGUCUGAGAGGAUGAUCAGCCACACUGGGACUGAGACACGGCCCAGACUCCUACGGGAGGCAGCAGUGGGGAAUUUUGGACAAUGGGGGCAAGCCUGAUCCAGCCAUUCCGCGUGAGUGAAGAAGGCCUUCGGGUUGUAAAGCUCUUUCGGCAGGAACGAAACGGUGAGCUCUAACAUAGCUUGCUAAUGACGGUACCUGAAAAAGAAGCACCGGCUAACUACGUG